GAGACGCAAUUGAGCAAGACCUAGCCUGGGGUCUCCGCACGAGCCCCUUCUCUCUUUGACGCCGCCGCCUCCUCUCCUCUCUCGAUUCUCCUCGUGCCGCCGCGCCCGCUCCAAGCCCCUCCUCUUCCGCGUGCCAUCGGCCUCCCUCCUCUGCAUCUCUCCUCGUCGGCCGUCGCUCCUCGUCACGGAUCUCCUCGUCGCGGUUGCAGUGGCCGAACAAGACGAAGAGAAGCUGCAACGUCGGGUCCGUGCAGCGGCCUCCUCCUUGCGGAGGUCGGAAGAGGAAGAUAUGCUCUUCCAUGGCGUCGAGAGGGGGAGGAGGCGCUUCUCUUGCUAGAUCCAUGGCCACCAUGUCGCCAUCGACGUCGCCCAGCUCCAUGGCUUCCACUCUCCUUCUCAGGCAGGCGAUGGUGCGCGGCAUGGCCAGGCGUGACCUGCGCAAGCAGCACCGCUGAUGAGGCACAUGUUGUGGGCUAGCAGUGAUUGGAGGGCACGCCAUUGCAGAUCCUCAUCAUUUCUCUAGGAGAGGAUCUCGUCGAUGAUCCAUUUUUCUCCAUGGAUUCGCGAUGUAGGUGCUCGAGGAGGAGCUUCUUCUCUGGACGCCAUGGAAAUCUUCAAGGUGCGCCUCCCCUCCCCCUUCCCCUCCUGUGUAGGUGUUGGAUCAUGGUUUGGCAUUUAAUCUUCAAAAUUUAACUCCUUGAUUCCCCAUGUACUGCGGAUUCCGCGGGAGAGGAACACGCGGUUGAAGAACUCAACAUGGAGGAUCUGAAACCUCGCAAGGAAGAAGGAGAGGACAUCUCUCUCUCUGUUUCUCACUCUGGAAUGACGUGAUCCAAGCCCCAGAAUCCAUGUGGCAGCACGACAUGUACUCGAAUGCCUCUGCGAGAAGCGGCGGUGGCGGGAUGGUCUCGGCUGUUGAGACCGUCACCAAGCUCUUCAUCACCAAUUUGUACUUUGGUGUUUCAACUAAGGACGUGAAGAUUCACAUUUAGGAUCAUUACCAAAAGAUGAAGAACAAAAGGUUGACCAAUCUCAGUGUGACACUUGAGGAAGCUCAACUUAUGAUGGAUCAAUAGGUUUAGGAACUCCAGCCAUAUACACCUAAUGCGUCAUUCUGCUUUGGAGCAUAAAGAUCUGAUGUCAAAUAUAGCUUAACCAACCUUGUUGUUCCUAUAAUUGUUUUUGAAUUCUGCUCACAUAGAGUAUAUUUUAUGUAUGCAAUUCUUGAAUUGUCAUGUUGUACUAAACAAGGCAUUUUGAUAAGGUCCUCCAAUAUGGAUAAUUUUAUGAUCAUAGUAUCUGAACUAAACAA